CUCCGUUGGGAAAUUUUGACAUCUCCGAGUUCAGUUUACCACUUGCACAUAUGUGGACUACCUUUUUUCGAUCUAGCGCAUAUACAAUAAAGGUUGAUGCUGUCAUGGCAACAAAACUGUUACUCUUUUCAUCCUCAAGUUUUCAUCAUAAGUAUUUAGCUCGCAGAAGUGUAUUUAAUUUUUAAGGCAGAAUGCACCAUGAAUCACAACUUAUGGAGAUUUCAUGGCACAUUGACAAUGCAUUAUUAGGAGAACAGUCAAGCUGCAGAUUCUGGAUGAAUUGACAAAAUUAAGAAAAAAUUUGGCUAGAUCCAAUAUCACCCAAGUGGCCUUGAAGCUGAUACCGAGUAGAGGUGCAGACCUGCAAUUUAACUGCUUCCUUCAGC